rnacentral:lncRNA from 1 species
GGAGGCUGGGCUGUAUUGAAGUGCAUUCCAGACUGACUGUGAAACCCAGAGCUGCUGCUGCUUUUCCAAUGCUGGCUCCCUUCCAAGGGGCUGGCCCAGCUGAGCUGCUUGUCAAAGCUUCAUUUUGUCUCUUCUCUCUCUUUUUUUCCUCCUCUUUGUGAUUUCCCAUGUAGCAUUUGCCUGCCCUUGGAUAGAAUAUUUGGAUGAAUUUUGGGGUCACCUCAGAUCUGGCACAUUUCAGAAGUUGCUGACGUGUUGAUGCCUGCUAAAACACGACGUGGGAAGAAGAAUGAAUGUGGGCAAGCUCGGCUAGCCACUCAGAGGGAAAUGAUCUCAUUUCUCCUGCUGGGCAACCCCCAGUUGCUGGAUUGUCUUAAUGGCACUUAGAAAACCAGACUUACAUGGGAAAGUAAGUUAUCCAAGCAGACACCCAGAAUUGCUUGGCAUACUGUAUAACAACUGGCAAAUUAACCUUCUCACACUCGGAUAAUACUGCAGAAUUUAAGGAGCAACUGUAUCUGCCUCCAUGCAGCUGUCUAGUUUGCUAAUGCAUGUUCCUAAAAUAAAAAAAAAAAACACUGACACACAUACUGUCUUUUUCCUUUCAACAAUCCAGCUACUCAGUCCUUCUUGAAGUCCAUUUUCGUAAACACUUUGCUGAUCAAGAAGUGUCUGAAGAUGGGAAGACGGAGAAAGCUUGUAUUGUUUACUGAGUAUCAGAGGACACUUCCUUCAAGUGACCUAAGGCAUGUGUGAGUGCUAUCCUAUGAG